rnacentral:rRNA from 1 species
GUGUCAGCCGCCGCGGUAACACGAACUGUGCAAACGUUAUUCGGAAUCACUGGGCUUAAAGAGUUCGUAGGCGGCACGUUAAGUCGGGUGUGAAAUCCCUCGGCUCAACCGAGGAAUUGCGUCCGAAACUGGCGUGCUUGAGUAAGAUAGAGGUGAGCGGAACUGAUGGUGGAGCGGUGAAAUGCGUUGAUAUCAUCAGGAACACCGGUGGCGAAAGCGGCUCACUGGGUCUUAACUGACGCUGAGGAACGAAAGCUAGGGGAGCGAACGGGAUUAGAAACCCUCGUAGUCC